rnacentral:rRNA from 1 species
AUACGUAGGGUGCAAGCGUUAUCCGGAAUUAUUGGGCGUAAAGGGCUCGUAGGCGGUUCGUCGCGUCCGGUGUGAAAGUCCAUCGCUUAACGGUGGAUCCGCGCCGGGUACGGGCGGGCUUGAGUGCGGUAGGGGAGACUGGAAUUCCCGGUGUAACGGUGGAAUGUGUAGAUAUCGGGAAGAACACCAAUGGCGAAGGCAGGUCUCUGGGCCGUUACUGACGCUGAGGAGCGAAAGCGUGGGGAGCGAACAGGAUUAGAUACCCUGGUAGUCCACGCCGUAAACGGUGGAUGCUGGAUGUGGGGCCCGUUCCACGGGUUCCGUGUCGGAGCUAACGCGUUAAGCAUCCCGCCUGGGGAGUAUCGGCCGCAAGGCUAAAACUCAAAGAAAUUGACGGGGGCCCGCACAAGCGGCGGAGCAUGCGGAUUAAUUCGAUGCAACGCGAAGAACCUUACCUGGGCUUGACAUGUUCCCGACGGUCGUAGAGAUACAGGCUUCCCUUCGGGGCGGGUUCACAGGUGGUGCAUGGUCGUCGUCAGCUCGUGUCGUGAGAUGUUGGGUUAAGUCCCGCAACGAGCGCAACCCUCGCCCCGUGUUGCCAGCGGAUUAUGCCGGGAACUCACGGGGGACCGCCGGGGUUAACUCGGAGGAAGGUGGGGAUGACGUCAGAUCAUCAUGCCCCUUACGUCCAGGGCUUCACGCAUGCUACAAUGGCCGGUACAACGGGAUGCGACGCGGCGACGCGGAGCGGAUCCCUGAAAACCGGUCUCAGUUCGGAUCGCAGUCUGCAACUCGACUGCGUGAAGGCGGAGUCGCUAGUAAUCGCGAAUCAGCAACGUCACGGUGAAUGCGUUCCCGGGCCUUGUACACACCGCCCGUCAAGUCAUGAAAGUGGUGCAGCACCCGAAGCCGGUGGCCUAACCCCUUGUGGGAUGGAGCCGUCCUAAGGUGAGGCUCGUGAUUGGGACU